AAACCGGGGGAGCCAAAGCCACCGGAGUCGAAACUACCGGGGCUGAAGCCACCGGAGCCGAAGCUACCAGAGCAAGCACUGAAGCCGAAGUCCUUGGGGCCGAAACCGGGACCAACGAAGAUCCUAACCUGGAAACUACACUUGAUGAUAUUGACAAUAUGCUUCUGAGAAUGGCUGAAGAAGAAGCUGCUAUGGUUACGGCAACAGAAAAAGGAAAAGAGCAGAUUGAAGACAUUUUGGAAAAAGAAAAUUUUAAUUUUCAAGAUAUACUUGGACAAGGGUUGUCAGACGCUGAAAAAGAAGAGCUGAAGAAAUAUGCUAUAUCCUGUGGAUACAAACCAGGGUCUCUGCUAUUUGGUGGAGUCAACGAAGGGAAGCUGAGGUGCCUUCGGAACCGAACCGAGGCCAAGGUUGUUAGGACCUUCUCCAAAAGCGUUGGCCUGCCGAAGAUAGAAGCGGACCUCUGCAGAUACCAGCGACAGCAUAUCGCCGGUAGCUUGCUCUAUGCUAAUUUCAAGGUAAAAACUCUCGAUUUUUUAUUAUUAUAUUUUUUAUUUUGAAUUAAGUUGUUUUCUGACGAAGGUUGUUCUGGCAGAGUAUACUUCUAAGUAAAGUGCUGAGAAUACAACAAGAUCUUGAGGAUGAAAAGAACGAAGCUACCAUCAAAGAUCUAGAAAACAAAGUCAAAAAUUACGAAGCUGCUCUGAAGGAAAAAGACUCCGUUGUUCAAGAUCUUGAAAUCAAAGUUAAAGAUCACGAAGCUGCCUUGGAAAAGAAGGACUUCGUCAUUCAUUCUAUGGAAGGUUCAUUGGCUGAAGCUGUGACGGAACCUCCCAAGUAAUUAGGCCCACCUACAGUUGUCCUUGUCUAACAGACAUCAGACACCCUGUAGAUGUUCCUAAGUCACUUGACAAGUUCGGUAUCUUUCCUUACCUUACCAGGAACGUUUCACCCGUCUUGCAGACAUUACAGAACAUCGGAGAUAUAGAAAUGCGGAAGCUUUUACAUAAACUUACAUUUAUUUAGAAUGUAAGAUCAAGUUAUUUAUUACAGACCAGAACUAAAAGCGAGUGCAGAGUAGUUACACAUAUCAAGGGAGGCACAGACUCCUCCCGAUAGCUUUAAAACAAAAAGAUCCUAUAUGGAGGACCAAGUCCUCCCGCAUCUUCACUCCUGUUUUCCUUCAUUUGAUACCACCUUGGAGCAAAAGCAACAAAAAUUCGUCGCUUCCUCACCUAAAAACAACAAAGGGAUAAACCCUGAGUAUGGAAUUACUCAGCAAGUCUUACCCGACUAAGGAAAAGACUCUCAAGGGUAUGCUGGAUAAAUAGGAGUCAAGGAGAGGCUUUAGCAAGAAUCAACUUAGAUACCUUUGCAGAAAUAGCUUACUAAAGUGAGUCCUUACUUUCAAUAUUUUAGCGCCAGAUUAAAUAUUUAAUAGACUCUGUUUGCAUCUAGUCUAAUUUCAUCAUCUCAUCAAUACAACAUCAUUUUAUCCAUAGUGUUCACAUCUUGACUUAGGUUGUAGGUCGGAGCUCAAGUCUCCACUGUCCGGGGAUAUAACGGCGAUCCGAAUCGAUUUACUCAGCUGAGGAUCUCUAACCACACGACAUAUGUUUCUCGUAAACCUUGAUGUCUACUAUUCCCACGGAUCCUCCACUGCAUGAACAGGUCCGCGCCACCCGAGAGUACACCACCUCUUUUAGGCGAUCCGUUGCUAGGAGGGUACGUGCCACUCUCGCCAUCUCUCCACGCCCAGUGCGCGAUUGUCUUUUCAUGUAUGGAAUAGCCGGGUUCAAGCUUACCAUGUCCCAUUCUCAGGGCAUGUGGCUAGAUAAGAUAGUCCUUGAUCAACAGGCCUACAUACGCAUCCAAUCCUUAAUUGACCCGGGCGGAGCAUCACCUGUUCCUAGCCCAAGUCUCGAUUUAAGUAUUUCCAUCCUUAGGAUUGUGUCUGUUCCUUAGGAUGAAAGAGCAUCACAGGGAACUUUGCAGUAAGAUCCCACUAUUGCUCCAAAUGAAAAUAUUCUUGCAGGUAGAAGCCAUCCUCUCCAUGGUUAAAUUGAGGACAACCUCUAUCCACAAGAUCUAAGCAAGGCUAAGCAUUUUUGUAAAUCAUAUUUUGAUACUUCACAGAAGUAUCUAUAAAGGUAUGGAUAUCAAGGAAAGCAAUGCAUCAAAGGGUUUCAAGUAACUCCUAUGAACCUAAUGCACAUUUCACUAGACUUAAGUGUGCAAAAAGUAUUUUAAAAACACAAGGAAAGGGGUUGCCUGCACCGGGGCUUGCCUUUGUUUAUAGAUGAGUUAGUCUCAGGCCCGCAGAUGCUAAAGUUGAGACGAGACCCUGCCUGAGACUCCAAAGGUGGUGUUGUCUUCUCUUCAGGGACUUCCACUUCUUCUUCGCGUUCUAAAUAUAACCAUAUAGGUAUAUAUAAGAAUGAAUGCCAUGUAAUGCAAACUCUUACAAGGAGAGGUGGAGAACAGAAACACUACAACUAAAGCACAUAACAAGAAUAUACCUAUUUCUUAUUGCUCGAUUAAAGUGACCAAUUUGAAAUCACUUAGGUAAACCAGGGAAUUACCCCAACCAAGGUCUCAAGCAAAAGCUUAAAACUCCAUAAGUAACUUCAUCCAAGGGUCAAGAUCUCACUAGAUCAACAUGCCUCUGCCCCAAAAGCACUUAGUUCCAUAAUUAAGUAAGGAUUUAAUAACUAUUUUUGGACCUUGCAAGGCUUUCAGGUCAAAAAGGCUUCCAAACAGCCCAAAAACUACACUAAAAAUCCUAUAACUAACUUCACUUAGAGAGAUCUUGAUUUAACACAUCCAACCCGGCUUCACAACUAACUUCAGAAGAACUCGAACCAGAUGCCCGUCGCGCUACUCCGGCGACCUGGCGCCUACGACCACGUCGGCGCUGCUCUUCAGCGUCCCCCAACUACUACUGAGACAUGUCCGCGGUCAACACAACCCGGGCACAACCCUUCAACACCCAUCGAGUCACUAACACUUUACUUCUGGCCCCUUCUAUGUUUCUUGCCUUUACAAAUUGAGUUCCCGACGUCGCCGGCGGCGCGAACGCGCUCCCCCCGCGAUCCUACGGCGGAGGAGAGCCCGAGCAGUCUUCGGACAGCGGCCAGAUCAAAUCUUAACCUAAUCCAAACAAUUACGGGCAUGGAUUUGGCUCACAAACUCCCAGAGCGACUUGACCGCGCCCACGAUGGAAUCCAAGUUCGUGGUAUAUGCCCGGCCAAUUUGAGUGUCGGACACAUCAAAUUAAGGGAACGGGGAGUACGAGCAAGACACGGUCGACACGAUGCUUACGAAAAUCGACAUCGAACCGACAAAGUUUUGGUGGGUUGACAUCAGAGCAGUUCAUGCGGCAUCAAACCCGCGUUCCGAUCAAACUAGGAUUGUAAAGAUCAACCGGACUUUUUGGUGAGCUUCACCAAUGUAUGAGGAUGCUAGAACAUCAAGUCUUAGGGAUUGAGUCAUACCGUAACCGCCUGGCCACGUGAAGCCGAGGUGUUGUCGAGGUGGUCACCGGACACGCGCGGUGGUUUGAUCAAUGGAACAGGGCAUGUCUAGAGUGCAGUACUGCUAAUUGAAGCUGCACACUAUGAUUGCUGGUCGAAGUAGGGAUUACUGGUUUGGUUCCAGCCUUUCCUCCCCCCGGUUGUUCUUUAUAUAGGCAGAUAAAAGAUCAAAGGGGCUGGAUUCUUGAACUUGC
rnacentral:lncRNA from 1 species